ACACGGGGUGUUAACGGAAGCCGGGAAAGGAAAGACCGGUCCAAGCACAGGAGGCGUUGCGCAGGCAAAUCCGCGCAAUAAGCCAAAGGUGUGACGGGGAGCGAAAUUAUAGUAGCGAAGUCCGGAUACAUGCCGUCAAGAAAAGCCGCUAUUGCGCCAUAUGUACCCGUACCGUAAACCGACACAGGUGGAUGAGGAGAGAAUCCUAAGGCCGGCGGGAGAAGUGUUGUUAAGGAACUCGGCAUAAUGGCCCCGUAACUUCGGGAGAAGGGGCGCCCAGAAAUGGCCGCAGAGAAAAGGCUCAAGCAACUGUUUAGCAAAAACACAGGUCUAUGCGAAACCGAAAGGUGAGGUAUAUGGGCUGACGCCUGCCCGGUGCUGGAAGGUUAAGGGGAGAGGUUAGCCGCAAGGCGAAGCUUUGAACUUAAGCCCCAGUAAACGGCGGCCGUAACGAUAACGGUCCUAAGGUAGCGAAAUUCCUUGUCGGGUAAGUUCCGACCCGCACGAAAGGCGUAAUGAUUUGAGCACUGUCUCGACAACACACCCGGUGAAAUUGAAAUACCAGUGAAGAUGCUGGUUACCUGCGCCAGGACGGAAAGACCCCAUGGAGCUUUACUCUAGUUUGAUACUGGGACCCGGUAUGACAUGUACAGGAUAGGUGGGAGGCUGAGAAUUAAUGACGCCAGUCAUUAAGGAGCCGCUGUUGGGAUACCACCCUUGUGAUGCCAGGUUUCUAACGAGCUGCCGUGAACCGGCAGGCGGACAAUGUCAGGCGGGUUUUGACUGGGGCGGUCGCCUCCAAAAGGGUAUCGGAGGCGCUCAAAGGUUCCCUCAGAAUGGUUGGAAACCAUUCGGAGAGUGCAAAGGCAGAAGGGAGCCUGACUGCGACACCGACGGGUGGAGCAGGUACGAAAGUAGGACUUAGUGAUCCGGUGGUAUAAAGUGGGAUUGCCAUCGCUCAACGGAUAAAAGCUACCCUGGGAUAACAGGCUUAUCACUCCCAAGAGUUCACAUCGACGGAGUGGUUUGGCACCUCGAUGUCGGCUCAUCGCAUCCUGGGGCUGGAGUAGGUCCCAAGGGUUGGGCUGUUCGCCCAUUAAAGCGGUACGCGAGCUGGGUUCAGAACGUCGUGAGACAGUUCGGUCCCUAUCCGGCGCGGGCGUAAGAGAUUUGAGAGGAGCUGUCCUUAGUACGAGAGGACCGGGAUGGACGGACCACUGGUGUAUCUGUUGCACCACCAGGUGCACGGCAGAGUAGCCAAGUCCGGACGGGAUAAACGCUGAAGGCAUCUAAGCGUGAAGCCCCCCUCAAGAUGAGAUCUCUCAUUCGAAAGAAGUAAGACCCCUUGAAGACGACGAGGUAGAUAGGGCAGGGGUGGAAGGGCAGUAAUGUCCGGAGCUGACUGUUACUAAUCGGUCGAGGGCUUGACCU
rnacentral:rRNA from 1 species